rnacentral:rRNA from 1 species
UACGGAGGAUGCAAGCGUUAUCCGGAUUUAUUGGGUUUAAAGGGUGCGCAGGUUGUUUGAUAAGUCAGUGGUGAAAGUCUGUCGCUUAACGGUAGGAUUGCCAUUGAUACUGUUGGACUUGAAUAUGGAUGAGGUAGGCGGAAUGUGUAGUGUAGCGGUGAAAUGCUUAGAUAUUACACAGAACACCGAUUGCGAAGGCAGCUUACUAAUCCAUCAUUGACGCUGAGGCACGAAAGCGUGGGGAUCAAACAGGA